CGGGAAAUAGCGCAGGUUGGUAGCGCAUCUGGUUUGGGACCAGAGGGUCGCAGGUUCAAAUCCUGUUUUCCCGACCA
rnacentral:tRNA from 1 species